rnacentral:rRNA from 1 species
CUAUAAUGCAGUCGACGACUCUGGUAUUGAUUGGUGCUUGCAUCAUGAUUUACAUUUGAGUGAGUGGCGAACUGGUGAGUAACACGUGGGAAACCUGCCCAGAAGCGGGGGAUAACACCUGGAAACAGAUGCUAAUACCGCAUAACAACUUGGACCGCAUGGUCCGAGUUUGAAAGAUGGCUUCGGCUAUCACUUUUGGAUGGUCCCGCGGCGUAUUAGCUAGAUGGUGGGGUAACGGCUCACCAUGGCAAUGAUACGUAGCCGACCUGAGAGGGUAAUCGGCCACAUUGGGACUGAGACACGGCCCAAACUCCUACGGGAGGCAGCAGUAGGGAAUCUUCCACAAUGGACGAAAGUCUGAUGGAGCAACGCCGCGUGAGUGAAGAAGGGUUUCGGCUCGUAAAACUCUGUUGUUAAAGAAGAACAUAUCUGAGAGUAACUGUUCAGGUAUUGACGGUAUUUAACCAGAAAGCCACGGCUAACUACGUGCCAGCAGCCGCGGUAAUACGUAGGUGGCAAGCGUUGUCCGGAUUUAUUGGGCGUAAAGCGAGCGCAGGCGGUUUUUUAAGUCUGAUGU